ACAGUGGCAGGGCUGGAAGACAGUCAUACCCCGAGGAAAAUGUGACCCCCAAAGAAGUCAGGGCUACUGCAGGGCAAUCACUAGACACAUCUGGUUCCACCAAGUCUUAGGGGAUCCCGUUAGACGGCAGCAGUCCCUCUGAUGGCUUCUUCCUGUCGUUGGGCCACUCUGAGGCAUGAGAAAGAAGAGGUCCGGGGGGCAAUGGUGGGUCAGUGGUGCAGAAGAGCCUGGGUGGAGGUGGGCGGUGAUGGCCUGGGCUCGCUCUGUGGCUCUCAGGGAGGCUGCCUUUCCUUCCACCUCGACACACCGGCCCUCUCCCACAUUUUACUUUUCAGAUGGAGGCUCCACUUUUUAGUGUCAGCUGCUUUUUCACCGGUCCCGUUCCCUCUACCACCAACCUUGUCAUUUGACUUGAGUAUCCUGGUCUUCGUCAUUUGGCUUGACUAUUCUGGUCUUCAUUCCCUGUCCCUUGAGGUGUGGGUGUGGCAGGUCCCCUAUGCACUCAUGUCCAUCAGCAUGACAAUUGCAAUCAAGUUCUGCUUUUUAGGUUCCAAAGGAAGCUGGAGAUGACCUAGAGCCUUUGGCUUCUCCGCCUAACAUCCGCUUGGGCAGGGAAGGGGAGAGAAGGAGAACACGAAGUGAGGCAUGGGAAUGAGACAAUGGUGGGAAAAGAGGACGCUGGAAGGAAGAUCUACUCUUCCAGUCUGCAGGUGGCCCCCGAGGAGCCGCAGUAGGUCAUGCAUCCCCAAAGAACAUUCAAGUCUGAGCCUCAAGGAGCCUCUGCGACUCGGUGUCUAGAUCCAGGAAAUGGAGAAUGAGCCGUGACUUUGGAUGCUUCACUCUUGUCCAUCAGGCUCGGAAUUGGUGAGCAUCUCCCACAUUACCGUCUCCAACGGAACAAGGUGCCCCAUUGGACAUUUCCUCUGCAUGGACCAGCCAUUCUCCAAAUCUGCCCCCAUGUCACCCCAGCUCCCCAUCGCAGUCACUUCUCACUCCUUGUCCCCUGUCCCCCUGAGUGACAGGACUUUUGCCAGUUAGGUCCUGUCCCUGUUUCUGAUCUUGGGUCCAUUCCCCAUGGUCCCUUUCUUGCUUGUGCCUUGGGAUCUCAGGCCUGUUGAAGUAGGAGGCAGGACUCAACUUCAGACCAGAUUGAAGACUGGCUGACACAGAAGAGGCACCAAAAGCACCUCUCUCUCCAUAAGACAUGCCCACCAGUGCCAUGACAGUUUACCAUUGCUAUGGCAAUGCCCAGAAGUUCUCACCCCUUUUCCAGACAUUUCUGCAUAAUCUACCCCUCAAUUGGCAUGUGAUCAAAAGUGGGUGUCAAAAUGACUGUGGAACUGUCCCUGAGCUGCUACUCUUGACAUGCUGGUUACAGGGUAGCCCGGCUCUGCAGGGACAGUCACGGAGCUGAAAAACUGCUGCCUAAUGAAGCUGUUUUCUUCUA
rnacentral:lncRNA from 1 species